rnacentral:rRNA from 1 species
UGCCAGACUCCUACGGGAGGCAGCAGUGGGGAAUAUUGCACAAUGGGCGAAAGCCUGAUGCAGCAACGCCGCGUGAAGGAAGAAGGGUUUCGGCUCGUAAACUUCUAUCAACAGGGACGAAAGAAAUGACGGUACCUGAAUAAGAAGCCCCGGCUAACUACGUGCCAGCAGCCGCGGUAAUACGUAGGGAGCGAGCGUUGUCCGGAAUUACUGGGUGUAAAGGGAGCGUAGGCGGGGAUGCAAGUUGGAUGUUUAAACUAUCGGCUCAACCGGUAAUUGCAACCAAAACUGCAACUCUUGAGUGAAGUAGAGGCAGGCGGAAUUCCUAGUGUAGCGGUGAAAUGCGUAGAUAUUAGGAGGAACACCAGUGGCGAAGGCGGCCUGCUGGGCUUUAACUGACGCUGAGGCUCGAAAGCGUGGGGAGCAAACAGGAUUAGAUACCCUAGUAA